rnacentral:ncRNA from 2 species
CUGGUGGUCGAGGGGAGCUGGGCGCAAGCCUGGCUGAGAGGACGAAAGUCGUCGACCCUUUGAACCUGAUCCGGGUAAUACCGGCGAAGGGAUGUGUCAUGAGCGGUAU